GUGUACACCAUACAUAGUAUAUUAAAUCCAAAAAUUCAUAUACUUGAUCUCAACAAUUGGAGAAUACAUUGAAAAAACAAGAGUGCAUGAGCAUCAUUCAGCUUUCGUUGUUGUUUUUGGUAUGUGGUUGCCACCGGUUAAGAUCUUGUAUAGGUAGAAACAUGUCAUGAGACCACUGCAAACACACAUACACAUAGUUUGUCAGGUUAUAACCGAAGUUAAACAAUUAAUUAUCAGCUAAUGUUUUGUAUAGAAAAUGACCUGAUCCCAGAAACCAAACCAGCCGGCAUGAUCUUCUGAGUUUUCAAGUACCGUUGUCCCAUCACGAACGUAAGACCAGCUGAAAUCACUGUAUCAA